CUCAACUGAAAACACCACACACCACAAAGUAUUACCUAGAAUACUUUUUUUAGUCAACGAAGAUUUUCGAUUACGAUAGAAAUGGUCAAAGUUCCGCCCGAUUCGGUCAUGAUGCCCUACCUUGCUCAUAGAUUAGGCAAAUGGAAAGGCAAUCGAAAUGUAUUAUCUAGACUGCCCACAGGAUUUGUUCUCUCCUUUAUCGAAACCGAGCAUUACUUGAUGCGAUGGAUAACGCAGGAGGAUUAUAAUCGAAAGAGACAGGCCGCAGGUGCAAAAGAGUAUUAGUGUUCAAAAAGCCGGAGCCAUGGGCAAUAUGAUUCCGAGUGUUAUGGAUUCGGGGAUCCUGCCAGAACGGUGGGAUCGUAUGUUUAAGGCUAGUUAAUACAUGAACUGGAUACGUCGCCACGAGUUGGUUGAAGUUUCAGAACGUUCAGCCGAGUUAGAAUAUUUAGACGAAUCCUGGGAAAGCCAAAAGGAACAUGAAUCCUCUUAUAGCUCCGGUUACAGUUCCCGUCGAAGAUCCGAAGUCGUUCCCAUGGAGGUGGAUGAGGACUAUUAUGCAAUUAAGAAAGAAGUUGGGCCGUCGAAUCCUAGCUGUGUUAUAAGGAUUCCGCCCCCAGAUAAAAUUUAAAAUUGAGUGUUAACUAUAAAAUUGUAUUAAAGUCCUAGGUUCCUAUUCAGAAUAGAAUUUUAAACAAAUAACUUGAACAGUAAAUUCUAUAUUUUAAAUGUA